AUGUCAAGCGGAAGAAAAAGUCGAGGUCGUCAAAAGAUCGAAAUGAAAAAGAUGAGCAAUGAGAAAAUUGCUCUUGUUGUAUUCUCACCUAGUGAAAAGGUAUUUUAUUUUGGUCACCCUAAUAUUGAUACAAUAAUAGAUCGUUAUCUCUCUCAAGUUCCACCCCAAAACAAUGACAUCAUGCAAUUUAUUGAGGCUCGUCGUAAAGCUAACGUGUGUGAGAUUAAUGAUCAACUUACUCAAAUCAAUAACACACUAGAUGUUGAAAAGAAGCUUGGUGAUGAAUUGAGUCAUUUGAAAAAAGAAUAUAAGGCUUAG